rnacentral:rRNA from 1 species
CUACGGGGGGCAGCAGUGGGGAAUUUUGGACAAUGGGCGCAAGCCUGAUCCAGCCAUUCCGCGUGAGUGAAGAAGGCCUUCGGGUUGUAAAGCUCUUUCGCAAGGAAGAAAACUUAUCCUCUAACAUAGGGUGAGGUUGACGGUACCUUGAUAAGAAGCACCGGCUAACUACGUGCCAGCAGCCGCGGUAAUGCGUAGGGUGCGGCGUUAAUCGGAAUUACUGGGCGUAAAGCGUGCGCAGGCUGUUUUGUAAGUCAGAUGUGAAAUCCCCGAGCUCAACUUGGGAACUGCGUUUGAAACUACAAGACUAGAAUAUGUCAGAGGGGGGUAGAAUUCCAUGUGUAGCAGUGAAAUGCGUAGAGAUGUGGAGGAAUACCAAUGGCGAAGGCAGCCCCCUGGGAUAAUAUUGACGCUCAUGCACGAAAGCGUGGGGAGCAAACAGGAUUAGAUACCCGCGUAGUC